AACGAACGCUGGCGGCGUGGAUAAGACAUGCAAGUCGGACGAGAUUUUUCGUUGUAGCAAUACGAUGGAAAGUCUAGUGGCGAACGGGUGCUUAACACGUGGGCAACCUGCCAGGAAGUGGGGGAUAGCUCGCCGAAAGGCGAAUUAAUACCGCAUGUGAUUAGAGAGGACAUCCUUUCGAAAUUAAAGUCGGGGCAACCUGACGCUUCUUGUGGGGCCCGCGGCCUAUCAGCUAGUUGGUGAGGUAACGGCUCACCAAGGCUUUGACGGGUAGCUGGUCUGAGAGGACGACCAGCCACACUGGGACUGAGACACGGCCCAGACACCUACGGGUGGCAGCAGUCGAGAAUUUUUGACAAUGGGGGAAACCCUGAUCGAGCGACGCCGCGUGGAGGAUGAAGGUCUUCGGAUUGUAAACUCCUGUCAUUGGGGAACAAUGCACAGAUAUUCACUGUAUUUGUGUUGAUAGUACCCGAAGAGGAAGAGACGGCUAACUCUGUGCCAGCCGCCGCAGUAAAAC
rnacentral:rRNA from 1 species